ACCGUUUUAGCUCAGAUGGAAGAGCGCCGGUCUCCAAAACCGGAUGCCGCAGGUUCGAUUCCUGCAUGCGGUGCCA
rnacentral:tRNA from 1 species